rnacentral:rRNA from 1 species
CUACGGGAGGCAGCAGUGAGGAAUAUUGCACAAUGGGGGGAACCCUGAUGCAGCAACGCCGCGUGGAGGAUGACGCAUUUCGGUGUGUAAACUCCUUUCAUAUGUCAAGAAAAUGACGGUAGCAUAUGAAUAAGCACCGGCUAACUCCGUGCCAGCAGCCGCGGUAAUACGGAGGGUGCAAGCGUUACUCGGAAUCACUGGGCGUAAAGGACGCGUAGGCGGGUUGGAAAGUCAGGUGUGAAAUCCUACAGCUUAACUGUAGAACUGCACUUGAAACUUCUAAUCUAGAGUAUGGGAGGGGGAGAUGGAAUUAGUGGUGUAGGGGUAAAAUCCGUAGAUAUCACUAGGAAUACCUAAAGCGAAGGCAAUCUCCUGGAACAUUACUGACGCUAAGGCGUGAAAGCGUGGGGAGCAAACAGGAUUAGAUACCCCGGUAGUC